rnacentral:rRNA from 1 species
UACGUAGGGUGCAAGCGUUAAUCGGAAUUACUGGGCGUAAAGCGUGCGCAGGCGGUUUUGUAAGACAGAGGUGAAAUCCCCGGGCUCAACCUGGGAACUGCCUUUGUGACUGCAAGGCUUGAGUGCGGCAGAGGGGGGAUGGAAUUCCGCGUGUAGCAGUGAAAUGCGUAGAUAUGCGGAGGAACACCGAUGGCGAAGGCAAUCCCCUGGGCCUGCACUGACGCUCAUGCACGAAAGCGUGGGGAGCAAACAGG